rnacentral:rRNA from 1 species
CUACUGAAUCAUUAUGAGUCAUUAAUUUGGUGAUUAUGAUAACAUAAGGGAAAAAAAAUCGAUAUUACCUUAUUAUUAGUCGUUGUCCAAAACUGGUGCCAGAAGACUCGGUAAGACCAGAGACGCAAACGUUAGUCAUCUUAAUCAGGCGUAAAGGGUGUGUAGGCUGCUUUAAAAGUUUAAAUCUUUUUAAUAGCUCUUUUGCCGUUGUCCUGCCAUUAUUUAUUUUAUUUAUAAAAUAAUAAACAAUAAUGAAUAUAAAGGCAGUACAUUUUUAAUUUUAUUAAUAUUAAUUUAAUUUAAUAAUUAUAAAGGGGACAAAAAAGAUAUCCCGGUUUAAGUAAAAAGAAUAAAAUGAAUUAAAGCUAGAAUCAAAUUGAGGAUAAACCAAAUAAUACUUAGAGUAGGGCCGAUAUCCGCAGAUACUAAGGGGAAUACUAAAGGUGAAAGCUUUUUAUCUACUAUUGAUUGACGCUGAGAAACGAAGGUGAGAACAGGAAAUAGGAUUUGAUACCCAGAUACCUCUCACUGUCAACGAUGAAUGGUGGUUGUUAGUUUUAAUAAAAACUGGUAACGAUGUUAACACGAUAACCAUUCCGGCCUUGCGAGUACGGUUGCAAAACUGAAACCAAAAAAAUUAGUCGGUUUCGAAGCAAACGAA